rnacentral:rRNA from 1 species
CAUGAACGCUGGCGGCGUGCCUAACACAUGCAAGUCGAACGAACCUGAUCUUCGGAAAAGGUUAGUGGCGCACGGGUGAGUAACACGUAGGUGACCUGCCCUGGAGUGGGGGAUAACUUCUCGAAAGAGAGGCUAAUACCGCAUACGCUCGGCCAUUCUGUUGGUCGAGUAAAGCUCCGGCGCUCCAGGAGGGGCCUGCGUCCGAUUAGCUAGUUGGUGAGGUAAUGGCUCACCAAGGCGAUGAUCGGUAGCUGGUCUGAGAGGACGAUCAGCCACACUGGCACUGACACACGGGCCAGACUCCUACGGGAGGCAGCAGUGAGGAAUAUUGGUCAAUGGGCGAAAGCCUGAACCAGCAACGCCGCGUGAGGGAUGAAGGCCUUCGGGUCGUAAACCUCUUUUCUGGGAGAAGAGACAAGGACGGUAUCCCAGGAAUAAGUCUCGGCUAACUACGUGCCAGCCGCCGCCGUAACAC